UACGUAGGGUGCAAGCGUUAAUCGGAAUUACUGGGCGUAAAGCGUGCGCAGGCGGUUUUGUAAGUCUGUCGUGAAAGCCCCGGGCUCAACCUGGGAAUUGCGAUGGAGACUGCAAGGCUUGAAUCUGGCAGAGGGGGGUAGAAUUCCACGUGUAGCAGUGAAAUGCGUAGAGAUGUGGAGGAACACCGAUGGCGAAAGCAGCCCCCUGGGUCAAGAUUGACGCUCAUGCACGAAAGCGUGGGGAGCAAACAGG
rnacentral:rRNA from 1 species